rnacentral:lncRNA from 1 species
ACUUGGGGCCCUUUAGUUUCGCAUCUGGACCUUCGAUAUUCACAUCAGGAACAUCAACGUCCACUUUGGGUCCUGAGACAUCAAUGUCAGCCUUGGGCAGGUUCACAUCCACAUCUGGGCCCUCUCCUUUGAAGCCAGGCAUGCUGAACUUGGGCAUUUUCACUUUGGGCAUUUUUAAGUGCCAGUCUGGGCCUUGAACGUCCACAUCUGGGACAUCAAUGUCCACUUUGGGGCCCUUGAUGUCGCCUUCCACUUUGGGCAGAGAAACGUCCACGUCGCCCUUCAUCUUUGGACCUUUCAGAUUCAGGUCAACUUCAGGCAUAGAGAUCUUCGGUGCCUUGAGGUGCAGGUCAGGCAUUUUAAAUUUGGGGCCCUUCAGUUUCCCUUCUGGACCAUGAAUAUCAAUAUCAGGAGUGUCAAUGUCCACUUUGGGUCCUGAGACAUCAAUGUCAGCCUUGGGCAGGUUCACAUCCACAUCUGGGCCCUCUCCUUUGAAGCCAGGCAUGCUGAACUUGGGCAUUUUCACCUUGGGCAUCUUCAGGUGCCAGUCUGGGCCUUGAACACCCACAUCUGGGGCAUUAAUAUCCACUUUGGGCCCCUUGAUGUCAACUUCGGGGCCCUUGAGGUCACC